rnacentral:rRNA from 1 species
GACGAACGCUGGCGGCGUGCUUAACACAUGCAAGUCGAACGGAAAGGCCCUGCUUUUGUGGGGUGCUCGAGUGGCGAACGGGUGAGUAACACGUGAGUAACCUGCCCUUGACUUUGGGAUAACUUCAGGAGACUGGGGCUAAUACCGGAUAGGAGCUCCUGCUGCAUGGUGGGGGUUGGAAAGUUUCGGCGGUUGGGGAUGGACUCGCGGCUUAUCAGCUUGUUGGUGGGGUAGUGGCUUACCAAGGCUUUGACGGGUAGCCGGCCUGAGAGGGUGACCGGCCACAUUGGGACUGAGAUACGGCCCAGACUCCUACGGGAGGCAGCAGUGGGGAAUAUUGCACAAUGGGCGGAAGCCUGAUGCAGCAACGCCGCGUGCGGGAUGACGGCCUUCGGAUUGUAAACCGCUUUCGCCUGUGACGAAGCGUGAGUGACGGUAAUGGGUAAAGAAGCACCGGCUAACUACGUG